rnacentral:rRNA from 1 species
UACUAGAGACCGGCGCACGGGUGCGUAACGCGUAUGCAAUCUACCUUUCACAGAGGGAUAGCCCAGAGAAAUUUGGAUUAAUACCUCAUAGUAUAGUACCUUGGCAUCAAGGAACUAUUAAAGUCACAACGGUGAAAGAUGAGCAUGCGUCCCAUUAGCUAGUUGGUAUGGUAACGGCAUACCAAGGCGACGAUGGGUAGGGGUCCUGAGAGGGAGAUCCCCCACACUGAUACUGAGACACGGACCAGACUCCUACGGGAGGCAGCAGUGAGGAAUAUUGGACAAUGGGCGCAAGCCUGAUCCAGCCAUGCCGCGUGCAGGAUGACGGUCCUAUGGAUUGUAAACUGCUUUUGCACAGGAAGAAACAACGCUACGUGUAGCGUCUUGACGGUACUGUGAGAAUAAGGAUCGGCUAACUCCGUGCCAGCAGCCGCGGUAAUACGGAGGAUCCAAGCGUUAUCCGGAAUCAUUGGGUUUAAAGGGUCCGUAGGCGGCUUUAUAAGUCAGUGGUGAAAUCUCCCCGCUCAACGGGGAAACGGCCAUUGAUACUGUAAGGCUUGAAUUAUUAGGAAGUAACUAGAAUAUGUAGUGUAGCGGUGAAAUGCUUAGAGAUUACAUGGAAUACCAAUUGCGAAGGCAGGUUACUACUAAUGGAUUGACGCUGAUGGACGAAAGC